UACGGGGGGGGCAAGCGUUGUUCGGAAUUACUGGGCGUAAAGGGCUCGUAGGCGGCCAACUAAGUCAGACGUGAAAUCCCUCGGCUUAACCGGGGAACUGCGUCUGAUACUGGAUGGCUAGAGGUUGGGAGAGGGAUGCGGAAUUCCAGGUGUAGCGGUGAAAUGCGUAGAUAUCGAGAGGAACACCUGCGGCGAAGGCGGGUUGCUGGGCUGAUACUGACGCUGAGGCGCGAAAGCGUGGGUAGCAAACAGG
rnacentral:rRNA from 1 species